rnacentral:rRNA from 1 species
GACGAACGCUGGCGGCGUGCUUAACACAUGCAAGUCGAACGGAAAGGCCCUGCUUUUGUGGGGUGCUCGAGUGGCGAACGGGUGAGUAACACGUGAGUAACAUGCCCUUGACUUUGGGUUAACUUCCGGAAACUGGGGCUAAUACCGGAAAGGAGCUCCUGCUGCAGGGUGGGGGUUGAUAGGUUUCGGCGGUAGGGGAUGGACUCGCGGCUUAUCAGCUUGUUGUUGGGGUAGUGGCUUACCAAGGCUUUGACGGGAAGCCGGCCUGAGAGGGUGACUGGCCACAAUGGGACUGAGAUACGGCCCAGACUCCUACGGGAGGCAGCAGUGGGGAAUAGUGCACAAUGGGCGGAAGCCUGAUGCAGCAACGCCGCGUGCGGGAUGACGGCCGUCGGGUUGUAAACCGCUGUCGCCUGUGACGAAGCGUGAGUGACGGUAAUGGGUAAAGAAGCACCGGCUAACUACGUG